rnacentral:misc_RNA from 1 species
GAUGAAGAACGCAGCGAAAUGCGAUAAGUAAUGUGAAUUGCAGAAUUCAGUGAAUCAUCGAAUCUUUGAACGCACAUUGCGCCCUCCAGUAUUCUGGCGGGCAUGCCUGUUCGAGCGUCAUUUCAACCAUCAAGCCCCAGGCUUGUGUUGGGGACCUGCGGCUGCCGCAGGCCCUGAAAACCAGUGGCGGGCUCGCUGUCACACCGGGCGUAGUAGAUUUUAUCUCGCUCAGGGCGUGCUGCGGGUUCCGGCCGUUAAAAAGCCUUUUUUACCCAAGGUUGACCUCGGAUCAGGUAGGAAGACCCGCUGAACUUAAGCAUAUCAAUAAGCGGAGGA